UCUGGUUGAUCCUGCCAGUAGCAUAUGCUUGUCUCAAAGAUUAAGCCAUGCAUGUCUAAGUACAAGCCAUAUUAUGGUGAAACCGCGAAUGGCUCAUUAAAUCACACCUAAUCUACUGGAAUGUUAGCAGUUACUUGGAUAACUGAGGUAAUUCUUGAGCUAAUACACGCGAAAAAUCCCGACUCACGAAGGGAUGCUUUUAUUAGAUCAAAACCAAACAGCCUCUGGCUGUAACACUGGUGACUCUGAAUAACUUUGGGCUGAUCGCAUUGCCUUGAGCAGGCGACAUUUCCUUCGAAGGUGUGCCCUAUCAACUGUCGACUGUGAUAUAGACGCUCACAGUGGUUUUGACGGGUAACGGGGAAUCAGGGUUCGAUUCCGGAGAGGGAGCCUUAAAAACGGCUACCACAUCCAAGGAAGGCAGCAGGCACGCAAAUUACCCAAUGAACGAAGUUCGAGGUAGUGACGAAAAAUAACAAUACAAGACUCAUCCGAGGCCUUGUAAUUGGAAUGAGUACACUUUAAAACCGUUUCACGAGGAUCUAUUGGAGGGCAAGUCUGGUGCCAGCAGCCGCGGUAAUUCCAGCUCCAAUAGCGUAUAUUAAAGUUGUUGUGGUUAAAAAGCUCGUAGUUGGAUUUCGGCGGGUAGUGGUUGGUUUGAAUUGAUUCAACACUGACUUUUUUACCCGUGUGUUUUGCCAGAAUCUUACGGGUGAUCUUUACCGAUUGUCCGUUGGAACUGGCAGGUUUACUUUGAAAAAAUUAGAGUGCUCAAAGCAAGCUUACUGCUUGAAUAGUUGCGCAUGGAAUAAUAGAAUAGGAAGUCGUUUCUAUUUUGUUGGUUUUCGGAAAUCGACUUAAUGAUUAAUAGGGAUAGUCGGGGGCAUUCGUAUUCAAACGACAGAGGUGAAAUUCUUGGACCGUUUGAAGACGAACUAAGGCGAAAGCAUUUGCCAAGAAUGUUUUCAUUAAUCAAGAACGAAAGUUAGAGGUUCGAAGGCGAUUAGAUACCGCCCUAGUUCUAACCAUAAACGAUGCCAGCUAGCGAUCUGCCGGCGCUUAAUUUUCUGGCCUGGCAGGGAGCUUCCGGGAAACCAAAGCUUGUGGGUUCCAGGGGAAGUAUGGUUGCAAAGCUGAAACUUAAAGUAAUUGACGGAAGGGCACCACCAGGAGUGGAGCCUGUGGCUUAAUUUGACUCAACACGGGAAAUCUCACCAGGCCCGGACACUAGAAGCUGUCUCUUAUACACAUCUGACGCUGCCGACGAAGAGGAUA
rnacentral:rRNA from 1 species